rnacentral:misc_RNA from 1 species
UUUCCGUAGGUGAACCUGCGGAAGGAUCAUUAACACACCAAAAAAACACUUUUUUUUUCUUUCUUUUUUUCUAUCUCUCUUGGGAAAAGAAAAAGGAAAAAAAAAAAAAUUAAACACAAAAAAGGAAAAAAUUGAAUGCCCCAACAAUAUGCCCCCUUGUGGGAAAUUUUUGUUAGAAAAAACUCCAAAUUAAAAUUUAAAAUAAAAUUUUUUUAAAAAAAAAAAAGUAAAUAGUAUUUUCUGCAAUUUUUUUUUCUUAACCGGAAAUAUUUUGAAGAAAAUAUUAUUGAAAAAAAUAAAAAAAAAAACCAAAGACAACUUUUAACAACGGAUAUCUUGGUUCUC